rnacentral:rRNA from 1 species
AGUGAACGCUGGCGGUAGGCCUAACACAUGCAAGUCGAACGGCAGCACAGUAAGAGCUUGCUCUUACGGGUGGCGAGUGGCGGACGGGUGAGGAAUACAUCGGAAUCUACUUUUUCGUGGGGGAUAACGUAGGGAAACUUACGCUAAUACCGCAUACGACCUACGGGUGAAAGCAGGGGAUCUUCGGACCUUUCGCGAUUGAAUGAGCCGAUGUCGGAUUAGCUAGUUGGCGGGGUAAAGGCCCACCAAGGCGACGAUCCGUAGCUGGUCUGAGAGGAUGAUCAGCCACACUGGAACUGAGACACGGUCCAGACUCCUACGGGAGGCAGCAGUGGGGAAUAUUGGACAAUGGGCGCAAGCCUGAUCCAGCCAUACCGCGUGGGUGAAGAAGGCCUUCGGGUUGUAAAGCCCUUUUGUUGGGAAAGAAAAGCAGCAGGUUAAUACCCCGCUGUCCUGACGGUACCCAAAGAAUAAGCACCGGCUAACUUCGUG